GUGGGAUGAUGUGUACUGUGGUGAUGAACACGCUUUCCUCUGUCACAGAGAGAGCGAACGGAAGCAGCGUACGGUCGUCAGGAUGAAGAUUCACUCUGCUGCUGAUAUGUCCAAUCCUCUAAUUGAACAGCAGGUUAUACAACAGCUGCACGAUGAACUGAAGAAGCAGGUAGUGUCUGAUAUCAAACUGAGCUGGACUGAGAAAGAUGGACAGAAUUUCCACAAGGAGGAAGAAGAGAAAGAGGAGGAGAAAAGAUAAGGUUACCCUGAAUGUUUCUGAUUGGUUUCACCUGUGUUUGAUUGCCUUCUCUGGUCACCUGGUUGCCUGGCUAUUUAGGUUCCUCUGUUGGAUUGGCUCCUUGCAUAGGUCUUAUGUUUUGUUUAGUGCACUCUUGUGCUGUUGCCUUGUUUCUGUCAAGACUUUAAGUAAAGAUC